rnacentral:rRNA from 1 species
GACGUAGGGCGCGAGCGUUGUCCGGAUUUAUUGGGCGUAAAGAGCUCGUAGGCGGCUUGUCGCGUCGACUGUGAAAUCCCGCGGCUCAACUGCGGGUCUGCAGUCGAUACGGGCAGGCUAGAGUUCGGUAGGGGAGACUGGAAUUCCCGGUGUAGCGGUGAAAUGCGCAGAUAUCGGGAGGAAGACCAGUGGCGAAGGCGAGUCUCUGGACAGUUACCGACGCUGAGGCACGAAGGUCAGGGGAGCAAACGGG